rnacentral:rRNA from 1 species
AGAGUUUGAUCCUGGCUCAGGAUGAACGCUAGCGGCAGGCUUAACACAUGCAAGUCGAGGGGCAGCAUUCGGGUAGCAAUACCUGAGAUGGCGACCGGCGCACGGGUGCGUAACGCGUAUGCAACCUACCCAUAACAGGGGCAUAACACUGAGAAAUUGGUACUAAUUCCCCAUAACAUUCGAAGAGGCAUCUUUUCGGGUUGAAAACUCCGGUGGUUAUGGAUGGGCAUGCGUUGUAUUAGCUGGUUGGUGAGGUAACGGCUCACCAAGGCGACGAUACAUAGGGGGACUGAGAGGUUAACCCCCCACAUUGGUACUGAGACACGGACCAAACUCCUACGGGAGGCAGCAGUGAGGAAUAUUGGUCAAUGGACGCAAGUCUGAACCAGCCAUGCCGCGUGCAGGAAGACGGCUCUAUGAGUUGUAAACUGCUUUUGUACGAGGGUAAACUCAGAUACGUGUAUCUGACUGAAAGUAUCGUAC